rnacentral:rRNA from 5 species
AUGCAGUCGCACGGACCUUUCGGGGUGAGUGGCGGACGGGUGAGUAACGCGUAGGGAUCUAUCCAUGGGUGGGGGAUAACACCGGGAAACUGGUGCUAAUACCGCAUGAUACCUGAGGGUCAAAGGCGCAAGUCGCCUGUGGAGGAGCCUGCGUUCGAUUAGCUUGUUGGUGGGGUAAAGGCCUACCAAGGCGAUGAUCGAUAGCUGGUCUGAGAGGAUGAUCAGCCACACUGGGACUGAGACACGGCCCAGACUCCUACGGGAGGCAGCAGUGGGGAAUAUUGGACAAUGGGCGAAAGCCUGAUCCAGCAAUGCCGCGUGUGUGAAGAAGGUCUUCGGAUUGUAAAGCACUUUCGACGGGGACGAUGAUGACGGUACCCGUAGAAGAAGCCCCGGCUAACUUCGUGCCAGCAGCCGCGGUAAUACGAAGGGGGCUAGCGUUGCUCGGAAUGACUGGGCGUAAAGGGCGCGUAGGCGGUUCAUACAGUCAGAUGUGAAAUUCCAGGGCUUAACCUUGGGGCUGCAUUUGAUACGUAUGGACUAGAGUGUGAGAGAGGGUUGUGGAAUUCCCAGUGUAGAGGUGAAAUUCGUAGAUAUUGGGAAGAACACCGGUGGCGAAGGCGGCAACCUGGCUCAUUACUGACGCUGAGGCGCGAAAGCGUGGGGAGCAAACAGGAUUAGAUAC